AUGAACUGGCCGCCGUGGCCGUUGCCAACGUUCUUGACACCGGCGGGGUCGAAGGCGGGGCCGCCGUUGGUCUGAGGUGCGGGGACGGCCGCGACCAUGAGGACGAGGUGGAAGAGAGCGGUGAGAGCGAAGACGGCCUUCAUUGUGGUAAUGUUAAAGUGAGAGUGGGAUUUGCACCAAAGGCAAGUAGGAAGUGUAGGGAAUGUGGGGAGCACCGGGCUCAAGGCUCUGGAUGGGAGAAGAUGAACG
rnacentral:misc_RNA from 1 species